GCUAUACAUGCAAGUCGAGCGAACAGAAGGGAGCUUGCUCCCGGAUGUUAGCGGCGGACGGGUGAGUAACACGUGGGUAACCUGCCUGUAAGACUGGGAUAACUCCGGGAAACCGGAGCUAAUACCGGAUAGUUCCUUGAACCGCAUGGUUCAAGGAUGAAAGACGGUUUCGGCUGUCACUUACAGAUGGACCCGCGGCGCAUUAGCUAGUUGGUGGGGUAAUGGCUCACCAAGGCGACGAUGCGUAGCCGACCUGAGAGGGUGAUCGGCCACACUGGGACUGAGACACGGCCCAGACUCCUACGGGAGGCAGCAGUAGGGAAUCUUCCGCAAUGGACGAAAGUCUGACGGAGCAACGCCGCGUGAGUGAUGAAGGUUUUCGGAUCGUAAAGCUCUGUUGUUAGGGAAGAACAAGUGCGAGAGUAACUGCUCGCACCUUGACGGUACCUAACCAGAAAGCCACGGCUAACUACGUGCCAGCAGCCGCGGUAAUACGUAGGUGGCAAGCGUUGUCCGGAAUUAUUGGGCGUAAAGGGCUCGCAGGCGGUUUCUUAAGUCUGAUGUGAAAGCCCCCGGCUCAACCGGGGAGGGUCAUUGGAAACUGGGAAACUUGAGUGCAGAAGAGGAGAGUGGAAUUCCACGUGUAGCGGUGAAAUGCGUAGAGAUGUGGAGGAACACCAGUGGCGAAGGCGACUCUCUGGUCUGUAACUGACGCUGAGGAGCGAAAGCGUGGGGAGCGAACAGGAUUAGAUACCCUGGUAGUCCACGCCGUAAACGAUGAGUGCUAAGUGUUAGGGGGUUUCCGCCCCUUAGUGCUGCAGCUAACGCAUUAAGCACUCCGCCUGGGGAGUACGGUCGCAAAACUGAAACUCAAAGGAAUUGACGGGGGCCCGCACAAGCGGUGGAGCAUGUGGUUUAAUUCGAAGCAACGCGAAGAACCUUACCAGGUCUUGACAUCCUCUGACAACCCUAGAGAUAGGGCUUUCCCUUCGGGGACAGAGUGACAGGUGGUGCAUGGUUGUCGUCAGCUCGUGUCGUGAGAUGUUGGGUUAAGUCCCGCAACGAGCGCAACCCUUGAUCUUAGUUGCCAGCAUUUAGUUGGGCACUCUAA
rnacentral:rRNA from 1 species